GGAUGUUGCAGUGACCCUGCUGCGCUCUGCCCCAGCCUGUGACAGAGCUGCUCGCACCAUGUGGAAGACGCUCGUCUCCUCCAGAGGGACUAAGGAGCCGGUGCUGCAGAUCCUCUUCCGUGUGCUGGAAUACUGGCCAGCGCACAGGAGACGCACCUCUGAUGGGGAUGAGAGGGAUGUCUUUGCCCUGGCUGCAACUGUGGCACUCUGGGAGAUCCUCCAGCUGUCCUGGUGCCCAGGGGCAGUGAAGGACAAUUUCCCCCGCCUCCUUCCGACUCUGC